rnacentral:lncRNA from 1 species
GCCCUCCCUCCAGUCCUCGUGCUCCUGCAGGAGAGCCGCAGGCCCUCCCUCCACUCGUGCUCCUGCUGGAGAGCGACAGGCCCUCCCUCCAGUCCUGGUGCUCCUGCUGGAGAGCGACAGGCCCUCCCUCCAGUCCUCGUGCUCCUGCUGGAGAGCGGCAGGCCCUCCCUCCGGUCUUCGGUGCGCGUGCUGGAGAGCGGCAGGAGCUCGGCCUUCUUAGGGUGUUUGGGACCCCAUCCAGCGUGGUUUUGCUUUAGUUCCCCGCCCAGGGAGAGGAGCUCGGCAAGCAGCACCGGGUUUAUUCUUGCUCAUUUAUUCAAAAGAAAGGUACUGAGUUUGAAAAUGCACCAAGCACUGGAGAGAAGAGAAAGGUGAGAGGACCUCGGGGCCUGCCUGUAAGAGGCUCAGGAUGUGGCUGGGGAUGAGGCCCAGUGGCACCUUCAACGCAGGAGAUGAGGGGGUCUGGAUCCCACCGUCAGAGCACGCACGCAACCUGUCCACUCCCUCAGGACUGCAGAAAAGGUCCAUUCUUGUAUUUCUUUUUAAGUUGAAUUAAAUCCAUCUCUAGCCCCUGCCUCUGAACUGAUGGAGUGUGGCUGUUAUUGGGCCGCCCUCACCCGCAAGGGGUGGAACCAGAGCUUGGGGCUGAGGCGCUCCUGGAGUGUUUAGCGCCUCUGCUGUCAGGACAUCCUGUGGCCACUGGCACGCUGUCUUCCCACACAGAGCCCCCGACCAGCAGCGGAGCCACCCACUCUCCACAGCCAGGGUUGGGAGCCCUGGGGCCCGAGUCCCCGGUCCCACGUGCCACACAAGGCAGGACAUUCUGGGUGCUGUCGCAUCCCCGGAAUCAGGGCCUGGACCCUGGUCAGAGCAGGACCUGCAGGUGACCCCGGGUGGGGCAGACUGUCUUCUGUCCUUGGUGGCAAAGCCGGUGUUCUCGGCGUCAUGUCUGCACACGUGUGCCUGAAGCCACGGGAACGCAGGGGCUACCUCCGGGCCUGGGCCUGGGCUGUGGAGCAGGAUCGGGGAGGACACACAGGUGGGCGUCUCAAGAACUGUGGUGUACACAGCUGAGCCCCUGCAGCUCUGCUUUGCCGGGCCUCACCCUCGGUGCUGGGUGCAAGACGUGACAAGAUGGCAUGGGAAGCUUCCCGGGGAACGCUGGAACUGGGUGUUUGAAGGAGGACCUCAUGGCGGCAGCUCCAGCCCAAGUACUGCAACUGUGGGGCCGUGCCAGGAGCAGGUGCUGCGGAGCCUGUGUGGGUCCAGGACAAGAGGUAAGGGGAGUAUGGACGGGGCUGCACUGUCCUGGGGUUGAGGGCAGGCUUCAGGGGGUAACACUGAAUAGGGACUAGGAAGGUGCAUGCCAGGGGGGGUCCAGGCAGAGACAAGUGGGGGCACAAUCCUCGAGGGGGCAUAGAAGAGGCCAGCAGUGUAAGGCAGGAUGGCGAUGCCCACGGGCUCCAACGCCUGCUGUGUAACUGGAAUUCUGUCUGUGGCCUCCGGCGUCUGACAUGCGUUCUCACACCUGCAGGAGCACCAGAAGCCCCUGGAGGGCCGUGCAGACGACACUGUCGGGCCGGCCCAGCCCAGGCCCCAGCAGUUAUGACUCCUCUGUGAUCAGAGGAUGUGGCUGAGGAUGUGCAUUUCCGUCAAGUUCCCAGGAGAACCUGGUGCUGCUGCUUCGGGGACCCCACUUUGAGGACCACUGAUCUAACACUGCCCCUCGUGGCAAACGCGGAAUGACUCAAGAUUCAGCUGGAUGGAUCAUUCAGGGAGCAAAUCCACCUUUGCCGCCUGGCACACCCUGGCCAUUCGCUCACUGUCCACGUGGACGUAUAAACUAUGGGAGAAACAGUGAUGGCCUCUCCUCCACCACCAGGCUG